GUCCGUAGAAGAGAGAGACGCAGGAUUUAUGCAUAGCCUCUUCGUGGUCUCAAGCUGGACAUGAUACAUGUAACUUCCACUCAUGUUUCAUUGGUCAUAACGAAUGGCUUCAGAUCAUGGCUACACCUAACUGUACAAGGAGGAAAAUACAAGAAGAUUCAAUAUUGGAUUUUGACUCUCAUGAAUAAAGAACUCUGAACAUUCUUGGACCAAUAUUUUUGUGGACACAGAACAUGUUUUCAUUUCUCUCAGAUAAAUACAAAGAAGUGGAAUUCAUGGAUCAGAGAGUAAAAUUGGUGGACACCAAGGACCCAGGCAUACUAUCACCUCAGAAAAGCAAGAGCAACCUUCCCGGGCCAGAGAGUAGACUACAGUGCCUGGCAAGUAACCAGAGGAGGAAAAAAUACAAGAGUGUGUUUCACGGACCAGAUGGUGACAGAGCCAGCCUGGAGCCAUUUCAAGUCCUGCCCAAGUAGACUGCCUGGCAGUGCUUUUGGACUCAUGUGGAGCAAUGGAUGUGGACCUCAUCUUUGAGGAAUCUAGGGUGGGUGAAGCAGCCAGGUGAAGGCAAGGCAUUGCCCAUGUCAGAGGAGUUGUAGCUGGAGGGACCAGCAGAGAAUAUUCCAAACAACUUUGAAAGCAUCUACGAGGAAAGAGCUACUGCUGUCCAAUUGCCAGGUCCAGAGAGCAUGAAUCCAUUCACUCCAGCAGAAACUGCCUUUUCUCCUCCUCUUCUCCUUGGCAGCCCAUCCUCUCUGACUUUUAUGAGGUGUGGAGCAGCCGCUAGUGAGUGGGGGUGGAAAUGGAAGAGAAAGAGGACAGAAGCCAAACAUAGCCUUCUCUAAGGACAGCCUUCCACCUAGCCUGAGGUGAUGUUGGGAUGGGAGGAGUCUAGCCUUGAAGGAACAUUGAGAUGUGACUAGGACCUUGGGGGAGACACUUCUAGUAACUGAAUUGAGAUUGUGUUUUGUGAUUUAAUAUGGUUGUAGAACUACAGGAACUAAAUGAAAAAUUAUGGUUCCUAACAAUCUUUCAUCUUCCUCCUCUGAAUAAAUUUGGACA